rnacentral:lncRNA from 1 species
AUAGUUGCACAGAAAAAUACAGCAAAAUUUGCUGGGAAGAGAUGUGUUUGUGGAAGAUACUGUUGAGAUAACCCUGGUGGAUGAAGUCUCCCCUUUACCCACAGAGUGGAGAGCACACAUGGAGCAAGGGGCAAUCCAGAGACUCCUGUGCUACGGGGGACCUCUACAGUCAUAAACUCCAAGCUAUGGGCUGUUAAUCACAAAACCUAACAGGAAUAUUGGGGUAGGGAAAGAGAUUGGGUUUUAAAUACGGGGGGAAAAUUCACAGAGAAUGUUACAUUUCGAAUAGCUAAGACUAAGAAGCAGCUUCGUGUUAAGGAUACAUUCAACUUUAACCUUCAAAUGCCUUCAAAAAACAGCAGGUCACACUGCCAGUUAGUGCUGCAAAUCUAAGCACCAUUUGUGGGACUAUUGCAGCUGAUACCAAGGUGACUUUUGUUUUAAGUCAAUAUGCUUUAACAAACUCCUCUAAUGCAAACAAACAAACAAGAAAGCCAACCAACCACUAAUAAUCUCUGCAAGUAAAAUGUCAUUCCAAGAAAGUCAAAAUGGUCUUUGUGAAUGAAGUUUUCUUUAAUAAUAUUAAAGACAUAACAUGCCUCUAAGGUUGGAUAUGAAUGUGGCACAUGGCCAUAAAAUUGAUUCUGUUUUCUUUUGUUUUGGUUCUUCGGGGCUCUAUAUAAUUAUUCUUUCCUCUUACCCAGAAUGAACGAGGACAAGGAAGUCCUUUGUACUUUCUAAUUAAUUGUAAAAUACACAAGUAAAACCUGGCACAACCUUUCAAUUCUUGGAGGCUCAUAAAUAAACUACAACUUCCCCACUGAAGGAUUCACAGUAGCACUGAAGAAUCUUUGAAGGACCAGGCUUUCUUCCAGAGAGGGUAUCUCAUGAUGCAACUAGAUGGAGUCUGCUCACACCAGAGACCAAGGGGCACAGUCUUCCCAAAUCCUUAAUAUACAGAGACGUGCUCAACUGGCUGCUGGAAACCUGCUCUAAUGGCAGGACCCCAAUAUCUGGGAACUUCUGUGUUCUUCCAAAGUGGUAUGAAGAAGGUGUAACAGACACCACGAUACUCUUCCAGUGUGUUCAGGCAUAUUGCAGGUGGGCUGACGGUUGCAUUUUGUGAACUACUGCCCAAU